GGCGCACGGGUGCGUAACGCGUAUGCAAUCUACCUUUUACAGAGGGAUAGCCCAGAGAAAUUUGGAUUAAUACCUCAUAGUAUAGCUGAAUCGCAUGAUUCUACUAUUAAAGUCACAACGGUAAAAGAUGAGCAUGCGUCCCAUUAGCUAGUUGGUAAGGUAACGGCUUACCAAGGCUACGAUGGGUAGGGGUCCUGAGAGGGAGAUCCCCCACACUGGUACUGAGACACGGACCAGACUCCUACGGGAGGCAGCAGUGAGGAAUAUUGGACAAUGGGCGCAAGCCUGAUCCAGCCAUGCCGCGUGCAGGAUGACGGUCCUAUGGAUUGUAAACUGCUUUUGUACGAGAAGAAACACUGCUUCGUGAAGCAGCUUGACGGUAUCGUAAGAAUAAGGAUCGGCUAACUCCGUGCCAGCAGCCGCGGUAAUACGGAGGAUCCAAGCGUUAUCCGGAAUCAUUGGGUUUAAAGGGUCCGUAGGCGGUUUAAUAAGUCAGUGGUGAAAGCCCAUCGCUCAACGGUGGAACGGCCAUUGAUACUGUUAAACUUGAAUUAUUAGGAAGUAACUAGAAUAUGUAGUGUAGCGGUGAAAUGCUUAGAGAUUACAUGGAAUACCAAUUGCGAAGGCAGGUUACUACUAAUGGAUUGACGCUGAUGGACGAAAGCGUGGGUAGCGAACAGGAUUAGAUACCCUGGUAGUCCACGCCGUAAACGAUGGAUACUAGCUGUUGGAAGCAAUUUCAGUGGCUAAGCGAAAGUGAUAAGUAUCCCACCUGGGGAGUACGUUCGCAAGAAUGAAACUCAAAGGAAUUGACGGGGGCCCGCACAAGCGGUGGAGCAUGUGGUUUAUUCGAUGAUACGCGAGGAACCUUACCAAGGCUUAAAUGUAGAUUGACCGGUUUGGAAACAGACUUUUCGCAAGACAAUUUACAAGGUGCUGCAUGGUUGUCGUCAGCUCGUGCCGUGAGGUGUCAGGUUAAGUCCUAUAACGAGCGCAACCCCUGUUGUUAGUUGCCAGCGAGUCAUGUCGGGAACUCUAACAAGACUGCCAGUGCAAACUGUGAGGAAGGUGGGGAUGACGUCAAAUCAUCACGGCCCUUACGCCUUGGGCUACACACGUGCUACAAUGGCCGGUACAGAGAGCAGCCACUGGGCGACCAGGAGCGAAUCUAUAAAACCGGUCACAGUUCGGAUCGGAGUCUGCAACUCGACUCCGUGAAGCUGGAAUCGCUAGUAAUCGGAUAUCAGCCAUGAUCCGGUGAAUACGUUCCCGGGCCUUGUACACACCGCCCGUCAAGCCAUGGAAGCUGGGGGUGCCUGAAGUCGGUGACCGCAAGGAGCUGCCUAGGGUAAAACUGGUAACUAGGGCUAAGUCGUAACAAGGUAACC
rnacentral:rRNA from 1 species